UACGUAGGGUGCAAGCGUUGUCCGGAAUUAUUGGGCGUAAAGAGCUCGUAGGCGGUCUGUCGCGUCUGCUGUGAAAAUCCAGGGCUCAACCCUGGACCUGCAGUGGGUACGGGCAGACUAGAGUGCGGUAGGGGAGAUCGGAAUCCUGGUGUAGCGGUGAAAUGCGCAGAUAUCAGGAGGAACACCGGUGGCGAAGGCGGAUCUCUGGGCCGUAACUGACGCUGAGGAGCGAAAGCAUGGGGAGCAACAGG
rnacentral:rRNA from 1 species